rnacentral:rRNA from 1 species
GGAUUUGACGAAAGAUUAACUGUCUUAGCUUAUUAUUAAAAAAUUAACUUAGAAGUUAAAAGGCUUCUAUUUACUAAAGGGACGAUAAGACCCUAUAAAGCUUUAUUUAAAAAUUUCUAUUUUUGUUAAGAAAAAAAUACAAAUCAUAAAUUUUAUUGGGGAGAUAGAUAAACAAACAUUAUCAAUUACAACGUUCUUAACGAAACUUAUAAAACGUUUUUAAAAACCUUAUAACAAGUUACUUUAGGGAUAACAGCAUAAUUUCUUUUUAGAGUUCCUAUCGACAAAGAAGAUUAUGACCUCGAUGUUGGAUUAAG